UCCAGACUCCUACGGGAGGCAGCAGUGAGGAAUAUUGGUCAAUGGCCGAGAGGCUGAACCAGCCAAGUCGCGUGAGGGAUGACGGCCCUACGGGUUGUAAACCUCUUUUGCCGGGGAGCAAAGAGCGGGACGCGUCCCGCCUCGAGAGUACCCGGAGAAAAAGCAUCGGCUAACUCCGUGCCAACAGCCGCGGUAAUACGGAGAAUGCGAGCGUUAUCCGGAUUUAUUGGGUUUAAAGGGUGCGUAGGCGGACGCUUAAGUCAGGGGUAAAAUUGGGGGGCUCAACCUCGGCGAGCCGUUGAAACUGGGUGCCUUGAGUGGGCGAGAAGUAUGCGGAAUGCGUGGUGUAGCGGUGAAGUGCAUAGAUAUCACGCAGAACUCCGAUUGCGAAGGCAGCAUACCGGCGCUCAACUGACGCUCAUGCACGAAAGCGUGGGUAUCGAACAGGAUUAGAUACCCGAGUAC
rnacentral:rRNA from 1 species